UACGAAGGGGGCUAGCGUUGCUCGGAAUUACUGGGCGUAAAGCGCACGUAGGCGGCUUUCUAAGUCGGGGGUGAAAUCCUGGAGCUCAACUCCAGAACUGCCUUCGAUACUGGAGAGCUCGAGUCCGGGAGAGGUGAGUGGAACUGCGAGUGUAGAGGUGAAAUUCGUAGAUAUUCGCAAGAACACCAGUGGCGAAGGCGGCUCACUGGCCCGGUACUGACGCUGAGACGCGAAAGCGUGGGGAGCGAACAGG
rnacentral:rRNA from 1 species